ACCCAGGUGGCUUAGUCGGUUAAGCAUCUGACUUCAGCUCAGGUACAUGGAUUCAAGUCCCACAAUGGGUU
rnacentral:tRNA from 1 species